UGUAUAAUGGGUCAGCGACUUAUAUUCUGUAGCAAGGUUAACCGAAUAGGGGAGCCGAAGGGAAACCGAGUCUUAACUGGGCGUUAAGUUGCAGGGUAUAGACCCGAAACCCGGUGAUCUAGCCAUGGGCAGGUUGAAGGUUGGGUAACACUAACUGGAGGACCGAACCGACUAAUGUUGAAAAAUUAGCGGAUGACUUGUGGCUGGGGGUGAAAGGCCAAUCAAACCGGGAGAUAGCUGGUUCUCCCCGAAAGCUAUUUAGGUAGCGCCUCGUGAAUUCAUCUCCGGGGGUAGAGCACUGUUUCGGCAAGGGGGUCAUCCCGACUUACCAACCCGAUGCAAACUGCGAAUACCGGAGAAUGUUAUCACGGGAGACACA
rnacentral:rRNA from 1 species